GGCAGGGUGGAGAAGCGGUAUCUCGUCUGGCUCAUAACCAGAAGGUCGUCGGUUCAAGUCCGACCCUUGCAACCA
rnacentral:tRNA from 1 species